UACGAAGGGGGCUAGCGUUGCUCGGAAUUACUGGGCGUAAAGGGAGCGUAGGCGGGUUAUCAAGUUGGAGGUGAAAGCCCAGGGCUCAGCCUUGGAAUUGCCUUCAAAACUGAUAGCCUAGAGUAUGGAAGAGGUAAGUGGAACUCCGAGUGUAGAGGUGAAAUUCGUAGAUAUUCGGAAGAACACCAGUGGCGAAGGCGACUUACUGGUCCAUGACUGACGCUGAGGCUCGAAAGCGUGGGGAGCAAACAGG
rnacentral:rRNA from 1 species